UGAGGAACAUGACUUUCGGUGGGGGAGUAGCCGGCCCAACGGCCGGGUAAUACCGCGUACGACCACAUGGGGACAUCCCUGAGUGGUGAAAGCAGCAAUGCGCCGAUGGAGUGCCUCGCGGCCUAUCAGCUAGUUGGUGAGGUAACGGCUCACCAAGGCGACGACGGGUAGCUGGUCUGAGAGGAUGGCCAGCCCANAGUUGGGACUGAGACACGGCCCAGACCUGUACCGGGA
rnacentral:rRNA from 1 species